CUACAGCUCGCCGCUCCGAUUCCCUGCCGCGGAGAUCGUCUUUCCCUUGUCGCCGGUCUCAUCGGAAUAUCUCCAUUCGAAGAAAUCCAAUCGACUCACUGCGGUUCAAUUUCUUCAUCAUUGUUUCACCGGUCUCAUCGGAGAAUCUCAAUUCACUGAGGUUUCAUUUUGGACUCAAUACACUCAAAUUCUGAUUUAUUUCUCCCCUCGUUCCUCACUGUCUGCUGAAAUGACCUGAGUUGAGUAGCGGAUUAAGAGUAGUCUUGGAUGGUCUAGUAUGACACCUGAGUUGAGUUUCCCUAUCCAAGUUGCACUGACAAGGUGGUUCAAACUUCAUAUACUAGAUGCAGAUGUUAUUUUUGAAUUAAUAAGUGGAAUUGCUAAGGACACUUGCUGAAA